GUCAUCAAACAUAAUCCAUGUGCCAAAAGUAAAAAACAUGUUUAUCACGUGUUAAGACUUAUUUCAAACAAACCCGAGGUCUCUCUUUUCUCUCCAUCAGAAUUCGUUUCUCCUCCGCCGCGACAGAGGUCGCCUCCGGCGGAGGCGGAGUCCUAAUGUCCAAGCCAAUCAGAUAAAUGCCUUCGUCUUUCUCUCAUGAUUCCAAAAAUCACCAUGAAACAACCUGAUUCUUCAUAAGUUGUCUGAAUCGAAGCGGUUCCUCAAAGAAACCUAAACCUUAGAUAUAAAAUUAAAUUCUAAUCCCUCGGAAUCAAAGCCAUAGAUGUUAGGCCUUUGAUUACCCUAAACCUCUUCUACACUCUAGUAACAUGCAUGAAGUGAAAAGAUGAAAAAGAUCAGAAGCAACUCACUGGAGCAAAACCAGAGUUCAUGAUGUGCAAAAGGGGAAUAAUGGAAUCAAAGGCAUGACUUGUUCUUGAAGAAGUGGUGAGGAUUUGGAUCAUGGCAAGACAAAGUGGAAUAUUCAAGUGAAAAAUGGACUUUAUGGUUUAGGAUGGUCAAAGUAUGAUUAGUUGGCUUUGGUCAACUGGUUUACCAAAAGUCAACUUAUGCAAAAAGUUGUAAUUUAUUUGUAACUUCGUAUGAUCAUGUAUGGACAAUGUAAAUAUGAUCUGUAUGAAUGAAAUGAAUUAUUUUUAGUGAAAAA